rnacentral:rRNA from 1 species
ACACAUGCAAGUCGAACGGACUAAUUGGGGCUUGCUCCACUUAAUUAUUGGCAGACGGAUGAGUAACUCCUGGGAAUCUACCCAUCAGGACGGAAUAGCUUUUACAAAUAAAACCUAAUACCGUAUAUUCUCUGCGGAGGAAAGAUUUAUUGCUGAUGAAUGAGCCCGCGGCAGAUUAGGUAGUUGGUGAGGUAAUGGCUCACCACGCCGACGAUCUGAAGCUGGUCUGACAGGAUGAUCAGCCACACUGGGACUGAGACACGGCCCAGACUCCUACGGAAGGGAGCAGUGGGGAAUAUUGGACAAUGGGCGAAAGCCUGAUCCAGCAAUACCGAGUGAGUGAUGAAGGCCUUAGGGUUGUAAAGCUCUUUUAGCAAGGAAGAUAAUGACGUUACUUGCAAAAAAAGCCCCGGCUAACUCCGUGCCAGCAGCCGCGGUAAGACGGAGGGAGCUAGCGUUGUUCGGAAUUACUGGGCGUAAUGAGUGCGUAGGCGGUUUAGUACCUUGGAUGAGAAAGCCCGGGGCUUAACCUCGGAAUUGCUUUGAAAACUACAAAGCUAGAGUGGAAUUGGGGAGGAUGGAAUUCCUACUGUAAAGGUGAAAUUCUCACAUAUGACGAAGAACACCGGUGGCGAAGGCAAUCAUCUGGACUACAAAUGACGCUGAUGC